rnacentral:lncRNA from 1 species
AUGGUUUCAGUGUGUCUGCCCUCUGAUGCCCUCUCGCAACACCUACCAUCUUACUUGGGUUUCUCUUACCUUGGGCCUGGGGUAUCUCUUCACAGCUGCUCCAGCAAAGCACAGCCGCUGCUCCUUACUUUGGAAGAGGGGUAUCUCCUCACCGCCACCCCUCCUGACCUUGAACGUGGACUGGCUUUGAUCCUCAGGGAUCAAUUCAAAGAAAUAGAGGAAAACAACAGAAUGGGAAAGACUAGAGAUGUCUUCAAGAAAAUUAGAGAUACCAAGGGAAUAUUUCAUGCAAAGAUGGGCUUCAUAAAGGACAGAAAUGGCAUGGACCUAACAGAAGCAGAAGAUUUUAAGAAGAGGUGGCAAGAAUACACAGAAGAACUGUACAAAAAAGACCUUUAUGACCCAGAUAAUCAUGAUGGUGUGAUCACUCACCUAGAGCCAGACGUCCUGGAAUGUGAAGUUACGUGGGCCUUAGAAAGCAUCACUAUGAACAAAGCUAGUGGAGGUGAUGGAAUUCCAGUUGAGCUAUUUCAAAUCCUGAAAGAUGAUGCUGUGAAAGUGCUGCACUCAAUAUGCCAGCAAAUUCGGAAAACUCAGCAGUGGUCACAGGACUGGAAAAGGUCAGUUUUCAUUCCUAUUCCAAAGAAAGGCAAUGCAAAAGAAUGCUCAAACUACUGCACAAUUACACUCAUCUCACACACUAGUAAAGUAAUGUUCAAAAUUCUCCAAGCCAGGCUUCAGCAAUACGUGAACCAUGAACUUCCUGAUGUUCAAGCUGGUUUUAGAAAAGGCAGAGGAACCAGAGAUCAAAUUGCCAGCAUCUGCUGGAUCAUGGAAAAAGCAAAAGAGUUCCAGAAAAACAUCUAUUUCUGCUUUAUUGACUAUGCCAAAGCCUUUGACUGUGUGGAUCACAGUAAACUGCGGAAAAUUCUGAAAGAGAUGGGAAUACCAGACCACCUGACCUGCCUCUUGAGAAACCUGUAUGCAGGUCAGGAAGCAACAGUUAGAACUGGACAUGGGACAACAGACUGGUUCCAAAUAGGAAAAGGAGUACGUCAAGGCUGUAUAUUGUCACCCUGCUUAUUUAACUUCUAUGCAGAGUACAUCAUGAGAAACGCAGGGCUGGAAGAAACACAAGCUGGAAUCAAGAUUUCUGGGAGAAAUAUCAAUAACCUCAGAUAUGCAGAUGACACCACCCUCAUGGCAGAAAGUGAAGAGGAACUAAGGAGCCUCUUGAUGAAAGUGAAAGAGGAGAGUGAAAAAGUUGGCUUAAAGCUCAACAUUCAGAAAACUAAGAUCAUGGCAUCUGGUCCCAUCACUUCAUGGGAAACAGAUGGGGAAAUGGUGGAAACAGUGUCAGACUUUAUUUUGGGGGUCUCCAAAAUCACUGCAGAUGGUGAUUGCAGCCAUGAAAUUAAAAGACGCUUACUCCUUGGAAGAAAAGUUAUGACCAACCUAGAUAGCAUAUUCAAAAGUAGAGACAUUACUUUGCCAACAAAGAUUCAUCUCAUCAAGGCUAUGGUUUUUCCAGUGGUCAUGUAUGGAUGUGAGAGUUGGACUGUGAAGAAGGCUGAGGGCCGAAAAUUGAUGCUUUUGAACUGUGGUGUUGGAGAAGACUCUUGA